rnacentral:rRNA from 1 species
GACGAACGCUGGCGGCGUGCCUAAUACAUGCAAGUCGAGCGAAUGGAUUAAGAGCUUGCUCUUAUGAAGUUAGCGGCGGACGGGUGAGUAACACGUGGGUAACCUGCCCAUAAGACUGGGAUAACUCCGGGAAACCGGGGCUAAUACCGGAUGACAUUUUGAACCGCAUGGUUCGAAAUUGAAAGGCGGCUUCGGCUGUCACUUAUGGAUGGACCCGCGUCGCAUUAGCUAGUUGGUGAGGUAACGGCUCACCAAGGCAACGAUGCGUAGCCGACCCGAGAGGGUGAUCGGCCACACUGGGACUGAGACACGGCCCAGACUCCUACGGGAGGCAGCAGUAGGGAAUCUUCCGCAAUGGACGAAAGUCUGACGGAGCAACGCCGCGUGAGUGAUGAAGGCUUUCGGGUCGUAAAACUCUGUUGUUAGGGAAGAACAAGUGCUAGUUGAAUAAGCUGACACCUUGACGGUACCUAACCAGAAAGCCACGGCUAACUACGUGCCAGCCGCCGCCGUAA